rnacentral:rRNA from 1 species
UACGGGAGGCAGCAGUGGGGAAUAUUGCACAAUGGGCGAAAGCCUGAUGCAGCUAUGCCGCGUGUAUGAAGAAGGCCUUAGGGUUGUAAAGUACUUUCAUCGGGGAGGAAAAAACAAAACUAAUAAUUUUAUUUCUUGACGUUACCCGAAAAAGAAGCACCGGCUAACUCCGUGCCAGCAGCCGCGGUAAUACGGAGGGUGCUAGCGUUAAUCAGAAUUACUGGGCGUAAAGAGCACGUAGGUGGUUUUUUAAAGUCAGAUGUGAAAUCCCUGGGCUUAACCUAGGAACUGCAUUUUGAAACUGAAAUACUAGAGUAUCGUAGAGGGAGGUAGAAUUCUAGGUGUAGCGGUGAAAUGCGUAGAUAUCUGGAGGAAUACCUGUGGCGAAAGCGGCCUCCUAAACGAAUACUGACACUGAGGUGCGAAAGCGUGGGGAGCAAACAGGGAUUAGAUACC